AACAGGGAUUGCGUCAGUAACGGCGAGUGAAGCGGCAAAAGCUCAAAUUUGAAAUCCCCCCGGGGAGUUGUAAUUUGAAGAUUGCGUCUUGGAGGCGACCGUGUCUAUGUUCCUUGGAACAGGACGUCACAGAGGGUGAGAAUCCCGUGCGGCACGGCCCCCGGCUCCUUAUAAGGCGCUCUCGACGAGUCGAGUUGUUUGGGAAUGCAGCUCAAAGUGGGUGGUAAAUUCCAUCUAAAGCUAAAUACAGGCGAGAGACCGAUAGCGAACAAGUACAGUGAUGGAAAGAUGAAAAGCACUUUGAAAAGAGAGUGAAACAGCACGUGAAAUUGUUGAAAGGGAAGGGCAUGCCGUCAGAUUGUCAGUGUGGGUAAGAAGCGGGGUACAAAGACUGUGGAACGUGGCCCUCGGGUGUAUAGCCGCAGUUCAUGCCCCGUCUCUUCCGAGGCCUGCUUUGAGGACACCGA
rnacentral:rRNA from 1 species